GGGCCCCAUAAGGCCUAGGCUAGAAAUGUGUGUGUGUGAGGGCCCCAUAAGGCCUAGACCGGAAAUGUGUGUGUGUUUGAGCUUAACUGUGAAUUCAUUCAUUGGAGGGGAGGGCCCCAUAAGGCCAAGACAAGAAAUGUGUGUGUGUGAGGGCCCCAUAAGGCCUAGACUGGAAAUGUGUGUGUGUGAGGGCCCCAUAAGGCCUAGACCGGAAAUGUGUGUGUGUUUGAGCUUAACUGUGAAUUCAUUCAUUGGAGGGGAGGGCCCCAUAAGGCCAAGAUAAGAAAUGUGUGUGUGUGAGGGCCCCAUAAGGCCUAGGCUAGAAAUGUGUGUGUGUGAGGGCCCCAUAAGGCCUAGACCGGAAAUGUGUGUGUGUUUGAGCUUAACUGUGAAUUCAUUCAUUGGAGGGGAGGGCCCCAUAAGGCCAAGAUAAGAAAUGUGUGUGUGUGAGGGCCCCAUAAGGCCUAGACUAGAAACGUGUGUGUGUGAGCGGUCGACAUGCAGCAUGAGGGCAAGACUAGAAUAGAUUGUGAUGACAGUCGACAUUACUCCUUUACCUGCGUGACGACAGCAUCUUUGUUGGAGGCAUCAUGGGAAGAGUGAUCUGUUAGGGAUGUUUUGGUCUCUAUAACAGAAGUCUGCUGCUUUGGCUCCUGGAAAUCAGACAAAAAGUUCUAAGAAACAGAUCAUGCAUAUGAGAUCACAUAGCUAUGCAUAGAUAAUCAGGUUAAUAUACGAUUUAUAAUUAACUACAAAUUGUAGAAAACAGAUGUAGCUGUGCUAUUCAGCACUUUAAAAAAAAAAAAAAAAAUCAGUAUAGCUAAUAUAACCAACUCACCUUUUUACGCCACGGCCAUUGUGAAUCACCGUAGUUGUAUUCGAUUUCACUUCCUAUUUCAAUU
ensembl:lncRNA